UGCAAAUGAGCCGAGAAUCCGAGC
rnacentral:rasiRNA from 1 species